CACUUCCAUGUUCUGUUUAGUAGAACCAGUUCGGAACUCUUGGAUCUGGGAGAAAAGAAGACAAUAAUUAGAGAGAGACAGAGAGAGGAGAUAGGGACGCAAAUAGCCUGAUUAUCUCAUAGCUGAGCCACCAUGCAGAGGUGCUAUUCCACGGAAUGUGUGAGUCAAAGUGAUGUGUCAGUUUUCACCUGCCAGGUGUGGUCUUCAAUACUACUAUCUACAGUACGAAAUUAGCCUGUCUAUAAUAGCCAAGAACUUGGCAUGAAAACAACAGAAGGACAAUAGUACAGCUGAGUGUUUGACCUAUAUCGAGCAAUCCUACGGUGCACGAAGGUGGCGCCUGCAAAGAGGAACAUCGGUUGCCUUAGAUCGAUACUAGAGUUCUGAGACGCACACCAGUGAUGGUGAUUCACAAGGGUUAUGGCAGCAAACUCGAGUUAGUUUUAUUACACGUGUGUAUUUAACUGAGUUAGUUUUAUUACACGUGUGUAUUUAACAGUUAGUUUUAUUACACGUGUGUAUUUAACCGAGUUAGUUUUAUUACACGUGUGUAUUUAACUGAGUUAGUUUUAUUACACGUGUGUAUUUAAUCAGUUACAUCAAAACAAACAUUCACGGGCGGGACGUAGGCCAGUGUUGAAGCGCUCGCCUGAUGUGCGAUCAGUCUAAGAUC